GGCGGCAUGCCUUACACAUGCAAGUCGAACGGCAGCGCGGGGCAACCUGGCGGCGAGUGGCGAACGGGUGAGUAAUAUAUCGGAACGUACCCUGGAGUGGGGGAUAACGUAGCGAAAGUUACGCUAAUACCGCAUACGAUCUAAGGAUGAAAGCAGGGGACCGCAAGGCCUUGUGCUCCUGGAGCGGCCGAUAUCUGAUUAGCUAGUUGGUGGGGUAAAGGCCCACCAAGGCAUCGAUCAGUAGCUGGUCUGAGAGGACGACCAGCCACACUGGAACUGAAACACGGUCCAGACUCCUACGGGAGGCAGCAGUGGGGAAUCUUGCGCAAUGGACGAAAGUCUGACGCAGCCACGCCGCGUGAGUGAAGAAGGCCUUCGGGUUGUAAAGCUCUAUCGGAGGGGACAAAAACGUUUAGGGUUAAUAGCCCUAGAUCUUGAUGGUACCCUCAAAGGAAGCACCGGCUAACUUCGUGCCAGCAGCCGCGGUAAUACGAAGGGUGCAAGCGUUGCUCGGAAUUAUUGGGCGUAAAGGGAA
rnacentral:rRNA from 1 species